AGUGAACGCUGGCGGUAGGCCUAACACAUGCAAGUCGAACGAGUGGCGGACGGGUGAGGCAUACAUCGGAAUCUACUCUGUCGUGGGGGAUAACGUAGGGAAACUUACGCUAAUACCGCAUACGAUUGAAUGAGCCGAUGUCGGAUUAGCUAGUUGGCGGGGUAAAGGCCCACCAAGGCGACGAUCCGUAGCUGGUCUGAGAGGAUGAUCAGCCACACUGGAACUGAGACACGUGCCAGACCCCUACGGGAGGGAGCAGUGGGAAAUAUUGGCCAUUGGGAGCAAGCCUGAUCCAGCCAUACGGCGUGGGUGAAGAAGGCCUUUGGGUUGUAAAGCCCUUUUGUUGAGAGGCUUUACCAACAGAAUAAGCGCCGGCUAACUUCGUGCCAGCCGCCGCGGUAAUAC
rnacentral:rRNA from 1 species